AAUCUCGAUUUUGAUCUUAGAUUAUCACUCUAGCUUGAUCUCGAUCUAUUUCAUAGUUAAUGGAUGGUUGUGUUCGUCUUUGUAUGUAGUGAACCCGGAUCGUUUUCCUUCAAUUGGAGGAAGAAGAUCGCACCACCAAGGAGCUGUUGGUGGUUAUUCUCCUCCUCUUCGCCGGAAUGUCACCGUGCUUCCAGAUAAAGGAAACCUGAAAGAUGCUUCUUGGGAAACUUGAGAUUCUUCGUAUGGAACACGUUUUACUCUGCUUGCAUAUUUUUUUGCUGAACGUUAUAAGAGCAUGAUUAACCCAUAACUCCAUUUGGGUCUCUUAUUCAUUAUUUUAGUAAUUAAAACUAAUUAAGAAUCUUAGUUAAGAGCUGCCUUGAUUUUGGAUCUCCAAUGGUAAACUCUUAUUUUGGGGUUCUUAAAAAAAAAAAACUUUGUGUAUUAAACACCAUUAAGCACAUUCUUAUCUUACUCGUGAGAUAAUAGCAGUUCCAGAGUAACCAAGUUUUGAGAUGCUACACGACCAGAAACUAUGAUCAUAGCCAUCACUAAGAGCUUUUUUAACUUCCUCAACAUCCUUCACCUAACAUUAGUGUAAUAGAUGUAUUUAGUACACAAGAAUUUAAUCCUUUUAAACAUAAGAAAGGCUAAUGUUAUGUAAUGACCUAGAUCUUUGCCUCGUGAAAGCACAACACAUCAAAGUUUUCUCUUUGCGCAAGUUGCAGAGGAUAGAAGCUCUCUAGCUUCAACAAUGCUCUCAAUCCAUUAACAUUCCAAGUCAUAAUCUUUACAGACUUGGUACCCUCUGGGAGAGGAGGAGGUCUCAUUGUCAUUGGGUUAUAAGCUUUAUAGUCUUCCUCAGGCUUCUUAUGGGCAAGUAUCGUCCAUGGUUCACUUUGAAUUGAGGAUUUGAAUUGAGGAUGAUAUGAUUUAAUCGGUUCUGAGGACUUUGCUAGAUACGGUCAAUGACGCUUCUUCCUCUUUUAACCGAAGCUUCUGCUUACCUAAGAAGAUAAAGCAACACAUAGUGUUUCAUAAUACUCUAUGUAGAUUGCCAGUAUAUAGUACAAAGUGUUUACUUUUUCUGUAACACAUGACAAACCUGUUUUGGCUAAUGACUUUUGUUCACUAGUUUUUGAAGAAACUUUGGCAUUCAAUUUUUUCUGAGUAGACUGUUUUACUCUUUUUUCUCCAUGGUCAUUGCCAUAAGCAUCAGAGCUAAUGCAGUCAUCUUCUGUAGACUCUUCCUUGCUUCUGAUCUUUCUUUUGAUGGUCACACUUUCUGAGCGAGUGGAUGAAGUAGUUUCCUUUAUUUCUUCACCAGAACUUUCAUCUGUAACAGAUAAACAAGGCAGAUCUUACCAAAUAGCAAAGCUAUAGGAAGUCUGAGACUUUUCAAUCUACUUCAAAUGGAACAAGCGGGAACAACUACUUAAAUGCAAACAAGUCCACAUUCUUUUUUUAAUGUGUAGUUACAUACCUUGUAAAUUACUGUCCAUAUGAAGUCGUAAAGCUGAUAUAAGUUCCUUUCUUGUUUGCUUAUCAAGUAGAACGAUUCGCCAACACAUGCGAUUUUCGUAAUCAACAGAGAGAGAGAGAUAGAGAACGAAAACAAACAAAGUCGGUUUUUUUUUUUCCCUUCUCAAAAUCUGAAUACAAUCACAAAACAACAAACUUUGUACCUUUCGAUUCACAGAACAAAAGCUUGAUUCGAUUCUAGAUGCAUGCGAUUUUCGGGAGAAAAGGAGAGAGAGAGAGAGAGCACCGAAAGAACGACGACAUGGUGAUCAGUUUUUUUUUGCCUUCUGAAAUUCUCUCUCCAAUAAGAUUAAAACACAUGUCUAACAAGGGACGGUUCUUCUAACUCCUAUUUAGGAGACGUUCUUUGUCUUAAUUGCAAUUUUUCUUUUUCUUUUAAUUGUAAUUCUCCUUAAAGACCCAUCUAAGAGACUGGGUUAAUCCUGCUCUAAUGUUGCUUACGUAUUUUGUGUUGUUAUGCAAUUAUCCCUAAAUACCUACUUUAUACUUCGUGUAAAAUGAUAUUUUAACAGCGGUUGAAAUUUUUAAUUGUUUUUGUUCUGGAGUCUGUAGAACUAGAAAAAAUAAAUCUUAGUAGGUUGUUGACAUAAUUUAUCAUUUUCUCUAACUACGUUUCCUACUUUUGUCUUUACUCAUUGGUUUCUUUUUACUUUCUAAUAAUUCCAAAGUUUCCCUUUUCUUUUCCUGUGAUUUUCAUUCUAUAAUUAUAUAUCUCAAUGAGCAUUUUCAACAAUAAUUGAUUUAAGUUUUGUAUUCGUUUGGUAAUUUAUGACAUUUUAUUAACAUAACCAUUUCUAACUUCAUAUCAAUGUUAAAAUGAAAUCUAUAAUUUGUUUUUGUUGGUUCUAUUUCCAAAUUAUAUGACAGCUUAAAAUCUCAUAAACCUGGGUUGAAAAAAGAGAGAAAAACCUAAAAACUCCUAAAACCAUUUUCCCGACAUUUCUAUGCCCAGUUGAAAAAUCGGAUGAAUCUUUUUAAUAAAGUCAAAUGACAAUAUGGUCGAAUGGUACAGUGAAUGUAGAAAAAUGAUAAAUCUUCUAAGUUUGAUAUCUAUUAUUUUAAAUUUAUUUAUUUGUGUGAUCAAUCAAUAUAAAUAUUUAAUUUUCAUUGUAAUUAAUCAGAUCCGACUGGCACUGACAAGUAUCCUAGUUAUUAAAAAAAAAAAGAAUAAAAUAAAGAUAGUUAAUAGUGUGCUCAGACUAGAACCUAGGAGUAUCUCUCAGAAGUCUGAACCAUAUGCUUUACUCAUUGGUUUCUUUUUUUGUUUCUAGUAGUAAUUCCAAAGUUUCCCUUUUCUUUUCCUGCGAUUUUCAUUCUUUAAUUCUAUAUCUCCAGUCAUGUCUGAUGAAUAAAAGUACUGUCCAAAGAAAGUCCAUAACAUCAUUAAUCAACCCAAAUAAGUUCAAACAAAAUGACCAAAGAUGAUAAAAUGUACAUCAUUAUCGACAAUAUACAUAACCUCGUUUCUACUGAAAUCUAGUAGCCUAUUAACCGAAUUAGAUAUCCUUGUCACAUUCCUUGUUGUAUCUAACCUCACCACGGUACUCCUAGUCUGACUUUGUCUCUACUUUGAUUGUACUCGCACUCCAAAAGCAUUACAUCAAUCAUUUUCCUUCCCUUUUAACCGCAAUUCUCCUCGUACUAGUUGAGACCUCGUAUCGUUGCCUCUAUAAAAAAAAACACCAUCGUAGCCACAGGUUCUUCGCUGUGUUUGGUUUAAUGAGACCAACCCCAUAACAUGUUCAAAUGCGAAUGUGAAGACCAAACCACACCAAAUUCCCAAGUAGAUUAGGUCCCAACCAAUUCCAAAAGCAGACCCGCGUACAAUCCAACAGGGACCAAACACACAAUGAGAGACCAAAUACCUAACUUCAUUGUCUAUUUAUCUUUAUAUUACCUUUGUUGGCUCAGCUUGGAACGCUGGUGAUGGAAAGCAAUUUUGUAGCGCCGAGCCCGAUCCUCAGAGCGUGGCAGAGGCUAGAACAGAGUUGGCAAAAUCCAAACAGUUUUUCGUAUUUCAACGAUGUUCAACCUCUUUCUGUUUCCUUCCAAGUAUCAUACUCUGAGGAGCCAUAGAGACAAACAACCAAUAAUAAUUGAGAACAAAGAGAUAAAAUUGAAAGUGUGAUAGAUAGAGAAAACUGUUUAGAUUAACCUAAUCCCUUUUUUUUAAUAGUAAGUAUUCCAUAAUACCUCCUAUCUCCCUUCUGUGAAAUCCCCAUUCAAUAUCAAAAAUCGAAUCCCAUUGAUAACCAAAUUUCGAAUCCAAUUUCUGAGUCAUCAAAAAAAAAGAUCCACAAUCCAUAUAAUCUCUUUAACAUUAUCACCAGAAUACCUUUUGUGAUUCUGUAAUUUCGUCUUGAUGUUGACUAAAUCUAGAUCUCUUUUCUUUAAAUUCGGAUCCGUUCUGAUACUCCCGGAUUCGAGUUAGCAUAUCUAUCUAUCAAGUUAAUUCUUGUUUGCGGAGCUACAUCAAAUUGAUUUUUUUUAAAGGAAAUAUUUUUUGGGUAGACUUAUUAUUUUAAAAUGUUAAAUUAAAUGAUGAUUUGAUAGGUUUAUUGAUAUUUUAUUUUUUCAAGAAGAUUUUCAAUAUUGUGAAGCUUAACUUUAAAAAUCCAAUGUGAUUUCAAUUAUUCUAGACUUUAUUUUUAAAACAUUUGUAUCCUUUAAACAAUGAUUUGUUAUUUUUAUAUUAAUUUUCUAAAAUAGUAUACGGAGUAUUUCUACUAAAUAGACUAUUUUCAAGUUUUUAUCCUAAAAAUAGAUCAUAAAGAAAGAAAAUGACAAAAAUGUUUUAUUUAAUAGGUAAAAAGAUCUUAAUACCUUAGAUAUAUAAAUACAAAUAAAUAAAUAAAAAAGAAAAAAAAUAUAAAUAUUUUUUUUAUAGUUUCAAAUUAUAUGUUUUCAAAUUCGAAUUUUUUUUUAUCAAUUUUUUUUGUGAUUUGAAAUACUUUUUAAAAUUAUUUUUUAAAUCUUUAUUUUCAAAUUUUUAAUACUUACUUUUUAUUUUAUAAAAUUUUAAAACUUAAUCUCAAAUCUCCACCUCUUAACUAAGGUUUGGAUAAGUUAACUCUAAAUGUAUAAGUGUAUAUUUGUUUUUUUAAUGAAAUAUUUUAGUCAUUUUUAUCCUAGUGUAUAUAUGUGACAAAAAAAAAUUUAACGCUAUUCUAGCGUAUUUCUCUAGUAUAUAUUUCACAUUGAUUCUUUUUAUCUUAAAGUUAUGUUUCUUUUAGUGCGUAAGAAAUCUACAUCAACAUUGCUUCGAUUUUGACUAUUAAUAUAAUUUAUGAUUGGUAAAUUAUAGUUAUACAACUAUACGAUUUUUAUAAUAUAAUUAACUUUAAUAUUUUCAUAGCUAUAGUGCUAUAUAAAAAUGUAAUUGCUAUAUUAUAUGAUUUUAAUCAUACAUAUUUUACUCAGAUGUCGGCUAACAUAUUAUAUUAUCAUUUCUAGAAUGGUUAAUUAUGCUAUAAAAAUAUACUUUUAUAGUAGUUAAUUUAAUUUUAAAACUAUAUUUUAUACAAAAACAAUCAAUAAAAAGUAAAAUAUAUAAAAUCUAUAUAAUAAUAGUAUCUCCCCCAAGGCUAUCCACCUAGGCAGUUUUAAAGUUUGUGGACCCCACGUUUUUUUGGUUUGGUUUGAUCACAAGUUUUCGAGUUUUGUUUGAUUAGGGUUUUAUUGAUCUCCUUCUUCGACCCUUCAACGGUCGCGUCUUCGCUGGUUUUAAUCUGCAAUCAGACGAUUUAUUUUCUCAAUUCUUAACCUCUCUUAUGAUGUUGUUUCCCAAUCAGCCAAUUCAUUCUAGACUGCGCCGGCCGUGCCGCAGCACCUUAACCACCAUAAUCUGAAGGUCCAGGCGGUGGUGGAGCUCCGUAAGGCUUCUCCUUUGUCAGCAUGUAGUCCCCUGAUGUAGCAGGCGCGGAAAGAGAAGAAGGAGGAAGUGCGCCGUGGGGCACCGUACGGCGGAUUGUUUCUGCUGAAGGAGUAAGGUGGCGGUUGAUUUCCACCACCGUAGCCCGCUGGAAACGAAAAGGUAAACACUUUGCAAAAGAGAUCGAAAAAAGAAUGAGUUGACAAUAAAGGUCUGUUUCUUUUAGUUUCUGAUAUGUUUUAGGAAAAAGAAACCAAGAAAGAAGCUUUCAGGAAUUAUUUAGAGUUCGGUGGAGUUAGGGGCUUUUAGGAAGUAUUUGUUAUUGAUUCUCUCACCAAAGGUAUUGUUUCUUUUUCUACAUUACACCAUCACUAAAAGAAACUGCAACCGUUUCUGUAUCAAAUAGUUUGAUCGUUUCCUGACAUAAUAAUUUGAUUUAUACUCUUUUGUAUGUUCUGGAACACAAUGUGGGUUUCCAAUUUACUUCUGGUUGUUUUGUAUGAGCAGAAUGACAAGUCUUCCUUCCUGUACUUUGUUUCUAACCAAUAUGUACCCAGAUUCAUUCAGCAAAAUCUAGGAGGUCUUUCAGUUUCUGAUUACGAGAAGCUUCAAGCUGAGAAGUCUAAUCUUCAAAUAAAGUAUAUGAGCUAUUUGCUAAACAUCAAGAAACGUUGAGAGAGGUAUAUCCAAAAGUAUUCAGACUUCAUGUGAAUUAUUCUUCUGCUUCUUGAUGGGAAGAAUUCUGUAAUCCACACUUUCAUCCCUGCAUUCAAUGAUUUAAAACCAACCAAUAUGGUCACCUGUCUAAAAAAAAGACCACCCAUUCGUCAUAGGACGUUUCAUGCUUUCCACAACGAUCACACUAUUUGACAAGUCUUACGGUGAGGGGUUCUGGGGAGGACUCACACUCCACUUGAACAUGAGAUGUUUUCAAAUUCCAGCAUGCUCUUGUAUCUCCAGUGUCCAGCCAGUGCUGUCAACCCCGGUUCAUCGUUGUCAUUUCUGGAGAAGUUCUGCCAAGAUAUUUCAGCUCAGGAUGGGUAUUUGCUCAGUUUCAUGAACCAGAAGUCGCCCAGUUCUUUGCAACAUUUGGCGCUAACCUCACAAUUGCAUGGAUGGAAGGUAUAUUCUUUCAUAACAUUAAGUUAUGAAUAUUAAUAGCUCAUGCAGAAACUUGAUCGUACACUGAUUCUUUUCGAAAUCUGUAAUAGCUCAGGAAGACAAUAGGAGCUCGGUAAAGCUUCCAUGAAGCGGAGAGAGCUUGAAUGGUCUGAAGUAAAAAGCAGUCUUGCUCAGUAAUUAACGGCUUCACAGAUCCCAUGUUCUUUGGAUGUGAGUGACAAUGGACGAUUGGAGAAAAAGACAAGCAUCUGGGCGGAGCAGCGAGGGCAAUUAGCGUCACCUCUGCUGUACUAUAAUUAUCACCUCCGCAGACGCCCUGGAGUCAUAAAUACGACGAGAGAAGGAGGAGAACACGAAAGGGGUUACGGUGUUGGAAGGUCAAGCUAAAUUUAGUUGUUACCUAUCACUAUCAGUGUCCACCACCGAUGCAAUGGCCAAUCGAAUCUCAAGUUCAUUUUAAGGAAAUGGUCUCAGUCAUAAGACUGUUAUGAACAAUCGAUUUCAAAAUAUCAACAUAAACUUAGGAUAAUAAAUUUCUCUCGAAUGCAUUAUUUUUUAAUCAAAAUUUGAUCCUUUUCAAA